GAUGAAGAACGUAGCGAAAUGCGAUAAGUAAUGCGAAUUGCAGAAUCCGUGAGUCAUCGAAUCUUUGAACGCACAUUGCGCCCCUUGGUUAUUCCGAAGGGCAUGCCUGUUCGAGCGUCAUUAUCACCCCUCAAGCCCCGGCUUGGUGUUGGAUUAGUUAUAGCUUUGCCUAUCAACUGGUCUCAAAGAUAGUGACGGCGCCCCAGAGGGAACCGGGUACGAGGAGCUUCUUGUUAAGCAUGUGCCUGGGACGACUCUGAUGGGCGACGGUCUUGUUAUACUUUUACCUAAGUGUUGACCUCGGAUCAGGUAGGAAUACCCGCUGAACUUAAGCAUAUCAAUAAGCGGAGGA
rnacentral:misc_RNA from 1 species